rnacentral:rRNA from 1 species
GACGAACGCUGGCGGCGUGCUUAACACAUGCAAGUCGAACGGUAAGGCCCUUCGGGUACACGAGUGGCGAACGGGUGAGUAACACGUGGGUGAUCUGCCCUGCACUUCGGGAUAAGCUUGGGAAACUGGGUCUAAUACCGGAUAGGACCACGGUCUGCAUGGAUUGUGGUGGAAAGCUUUUGCGGUGUGGGAUGGGCCCGCGGCCUAUCAGCUUGUUGGUGGGUGAUGGCCUACCAAGGCGACGACGGGUAGCCGGCCUGAGAGGGUGUCCGGCCACACUGGGACUGAGAUACGGCCCAGACUCCUACGGGAGGCAGCAGUGGGGAAUAUCGCACAAUGGGCGCAAGCCUGAUGCAGCGACGCCGCGUGGGGGA